rnacentral:rRNA from 1 species
GAUGAACGCUGGCGGCGUGCCUAAUACAUGCAAGUCGAGCGAACGGACGAGAAGCUUGCUUCUCUGAUGUUAGCGGCGGACGGGUGAGUAACACGUGGAUAACCUACCUAUAAGACUGGGAUAACUUCGGGAAACCGGAGCUAAUACCGGAUAAUAUUUUGAACUGCAUGGUUCAAAAGUGAAAGACGGUCUUGCUGUCACUUAUAGAUGGAUCCGCGCUGCAUUAGCUAGUUGGUAAGGUAACGGCUUACCAAGGCAACGAUGCAUAGCCGACCUGAGAGGGUGAUCGGCCACACUGGAACUGAGACACGGUCCAGACUCCUACGGGAGGCAGCAGUAGGGAAUCUUCCGCAAUGGGCGAAAGCCUGACGGAGCAACGCCGCGUGAGUGAUGAAGGUCUUCGGAUCGUAAAACUCUGUUAUUAGGGAAGAACAUAUGUGUAAGUAACUGUGCACAUCUUGACGGUACCUAAUCAGAAAGCCACGGCUAACUACGUG